GAAAGGGAUGCUAAUACCGCAUACGUCCUACGGGAGAAAGCAGGGGAUCUUCGGACCUUGCGCUAAUAGAUGAGCGUAAGUCGGAUUAGCUAGUUGGUGGGGUAAAGGCCUACCAAGGCGACGAUCUGUAGCGGGUCUGAGAGGAUGAUCCGCCACACUGGGACUGAGACACGGCCCUGACUCCUACGGGAGGCAGCAGAGGGGAAUAUUGGACAAUGGGGGGAACCCUGAUCCAGCCAUGCCGCGUGUGUGAAGAAGGCCUUAUGGUUGUAAAGCACUUUAAGCGAGGAGGAGGCUACUCUAGUUAAUACCUAGGGAUAGUGGACGUUACUCGCAGAAUAAGCACCGGCUAACUCUGUGCCAGCAGCCGCGGUAAUACAGAGGGUGCGAGCGUUAAUCGGAUUUACUGGGCGUAAAGCGUGCGUAGGCGGCUUAUUAAGUCCGAUGUGAAAUCCCCGAGGUUAACUUGGGAAUUGCAUUCGAUACUGGUGAGCUAGAGUAUGGGAGAGGAUGGUAGAAUUCCAGGUGUAGCGGUGAAAUGCGUAGAGAUCUGGAGGAAUUCCGAUGGCGAAGGCAGCCAUCUGGCCUAAUACUGACGCUGAGGUACGAAAGCAUGGGGAGCAAACAGGAUUAGAUACCCUGGUAGUCCAUGCCGUAAACGAUGUCUACUAGCCGUUGGGGCCUUUGAGGCUUUAGUGGCGCAGCUAACGCGAUAAGUACACCGCCUGGGGAGUACGGUCGCAAGACUAAAACUCAAAUGAAUUUGACGGGGGCCCGCACAAGCGGUGGAGCAUGUGGUUUAAUUCGAUGCAACGCGAAGAACCUUACCUGGCCUUGACAUACUAGAAACUUUCCAGAGAUGGAUUGGUGCCUUCGGGAAUCUAGAUACAGGUGCUGCAUGGCUGUCGUCAGCUCGUGUCGUGAGAUGUUGGGUUAAGUCCCGCAACGAGCGCAACCCUUUUCCUUACUUGCCAGCAUUUCGGAUGGGAACUUUAAGGAUACUGCCAGUGACAAACUGGAGGAAGGCGGGGACGACGUCAAGUCAUCAUGGCCCUUACGACCAGGGCUACACACGUGCUACAAUGGUCGGUACAAGGGGUUGCUACACCGCGAUGUGAUGCUAAUCUCAAAAAGCCGUAUCAUAAUCCGAAUUGCAGUCUGCGAUCUCUCCUCCAUGAACUCAGAAUCGCUAGUGAUCGCGGAUCAGGAAUGCCGCCGUGAACUACGUUCUCGGAGCCUUGUACAUGCCGCCCGUCACACCAUGGGAGUUUGUUGCACCAG
rnacentral:rRNA from 1 species